rnacentral:rRNA from 1 species
GACGAACGCUGGCGGCGUGCUUAACACAUGCAAGUCGAACGGAAAGGCCCCCUUGUGGGGUACUCGAGUGGCGAACGGGUGAGUAACACGUGAGUAACCUACCCUUGACUUUGGGAUAACUUCAGGAAACUGGGGCUAAUACCGGAUAGGAGCUCCUGCUGCAUGGUGGGGGUUGGAAAGUUUCGGCGGUUGGGGAUGGACUCGCGGCUUAUCAGCUUGUUGGUGGGGUAGUGGCUCACCAAGGCUUUGACGGGUAGCCGGCCUGAGAGGGUGACCGGCCACAUUGGGACUGAGAUACGGCCCAGACUCCUACGGGAGGCAGAAGUGGGGAAUAUUGCACAAUGGGCGGAAGCCUGAUGCAGCAACGCCGCGUGCGGGAUGACGGCCUUCGGGGUGUAAACCGCUUUCGCCUGUGACGAAGCGUGAGUGACGGUAAUGGGUAAAGAAGCACCGGCUAACUACGUG